UCCAGAGGGGGCAAGCGUUGUUCGGAAUUACUGGGCGUAAAGGGCGCGUAGGCGGCCUGCUAAGUCGAACGUGAAAUCCCCGGGCUCAACCCGGGAACUGCGUCCGAUACUGGCAGGCUUGAAUCCGGGAGAGGGAUGUGGAAUUCCAGGCGUAGCGGUGAAAUGCGUAGAUAUCUGGAGGAACACCGGUGGCGAAGGCGGCAUCCUGGACCGGUAUUGACGCUGAUGCGCGAAAGCCAGGGGAGCAAACGGG
rnacentral:rRNA from 1 species